UGCCCAGAUAGCUCAGUUGGUAGAGCAGAGGACUGAAAAUCCUCGUGUCGCUGGUUCGAUUCCGGCUCUGGGCAU
rnacentral:tRNA from 14 species